AACGAACGCUGGCGGCAUGCCUAACACAUGCCAGUCGAACGAGACCUUCGGGUCUAGUGGCGCACGGGUGCGUAACGCGUGGGAACCUGCCCUUAGGUUCGGAAUAACUCCCCGAAAGGGGUGCUAAUACCGGAUAAUGUCUUCGGACCAAAGAUUUAUCGCCUUUGGAUGGGCCCGCGUUGGAUUAGCUAGUUGGUAGGGUAAAAGCCUACCAAGGCGACGAUCCAUAGCUGGUCUGAGAGGAUGAUCAGCCACACUGGGACUGAGACACGGCCCAGACUCCUCGGGAGGGAGGCAGGGGGAAAUAUUGGCCAAGGGCCGAAAGCUUAACCAGCAAGCCGCGUGAGUGAUGAAGGCCUUAGGGUUGUAAAGCUCUUUUACCCGGGAUGAUAAUGACAGUACCGGGAGAAUAAGCUCCGGCUAACUCCGUG
rnacentral:rRNA from 1 species